AUGAAGGGAAGAAGUGGAAAAAGAUCAGAGGCUUUUUGGCCUUCUAUUAUGAUGAAAAAAUGGCUUAAUAUUAAGCUUAAGGUGAAUUAUUUUAGUGAAGAUGAAGUUGAUACUGAAACUGGGAGUGAAUAUGAUGGGACUACACUGGUAUUCAGUGUGCUAAAUUUCAGUUACAUCAUUCAUAGUAUUAUGGAGAAUCCUGAUAAAAAAUGA